rnacentral:rRNA from 1 species
GAUGAACGCUGGCGGCGUGCUUAACACAUGCAAGUCGAACGAUGAAGCCCAGCUUGCUGGGUGGAUUAGUGGCGAACGGGUGAGUAACACGUGAGUAACCUGCCCUUAACUCUGGGAUAAGCCUGGGAAACUGGGUCUAAUACCGGAUAGGAGCGUCCACCGCAUGGUGGGUGUUGGAAAGAUUUAUCGGUUUUGGAUGGACUCGCGGCCUAUCAGCUUGUUGGUGAGGUAAUGGCUCACCAAGGCGACGACGGGUAGCCGGCCUGAGAGGGUGACCGGCCACACUGGGACUGAGACACGGCCCAGACUCCUACGGGAGGCAGCAGCGGGGAAUAUUGCACAAUGGGCGCAAGCCUGAUGCAGCGACGCCGCGUGAGGGAUGACGGCCUUCGGGUUGUAAACCUCUUUCAGUAGGGAAGAAGCGAAAGUGACGGUACCUGCAGAAGAAGCACCGGCUAACUACGUG